GAAAACUUAAAGAAAAACGACGUGCUAUUCGUUCAUUGGUUCCCCGGGAUAGCUCUCGACUGACCUUGCAGUGAAAAACUUGCCUCCAUAUGCGAGUAUUUCUGAAUGUACAAGCCGUUUCUUUAUCUUUUUUUUUUUGUUUAUUACGACUAGUGGACGAAGUUCGGUGGCCAUGGAUGUUGGCUUGGUUUAUUUUAAACUAACGAGUUUGUUUUAGACAUAGAGUUUAGUCAGCAUUUCCGCUGAAAGACAGACAGGAAGUAACGCAACGCCAGACAUUUUGCUUUUGUUGGCGGAAUUAAAAUUGCGAAAAGACUAGAACGAGCAAUGGUAUAUAUUCGUGAGUGCAGAUAAUAUUAACAACAAUUGGCUACUUCCUGAUUCGGUUGGUCGAUUUACGUCGAACUUGAAGUAUAAAAACUGUGGUAGAAGCAACGUGCAUUAUAUGACUACUACACUAAAUUAACGGUGUAAGCUCAACAUUUCCUAUCAUUUUCCGAGAUUAAUGACUAAUUGGCAAGUAACAUUUAUUAUCAUGCUGAUUGGAUAUUAGUAUUGCUUGUCGUUGGCAACUUCUGGCACUGCUAGGAAGACCUUUUGGCACAUCGUCGUCAAUCUCUCUGUCAUCAAAAUCAAACGUGUCAUGUAGUAUCACUUUGAAUGCAUCAAAACAAGAGACAGAAGACUGGAAUGGCACUGGCCGUGAUUGCGAUAGCCGUUACGGCACCAACUGGAUUCGAAAUGAUGGGCAAGCAUACCAAGAAGACGGACACCAACAGGAAUGCAAUUGGAUAGGCAAGAUUCACCUGUUUAAAUCAAAUACAUGAAUUGUUUAUCCAGUGAAUUCAUUAAAUUGUUAUGUAAUUUAACCUUGAUAGGUCGGACAGCGUUAGGCCUUUUCCAUCUGAGCCACAACAAUCCGGUGACGGUGGCUAAUAGGAAUGCGGAAUCGGUGAACAUGACGUAAUUAAUCAGGACAUAUACGUCCCCAACGAUUAACAUGGCGAUGGCCAAUGCCCCCUAGUAUGCAAAAUGGAUAAUGCAAGUUCAUAAAAGGCAAUAAAGUAAUUUUUUUUUUUUUUUUUUAAAUAACAAAUUUUGCAUACGAUAAACAUAAUGGCCGGCUUAGGUGUCAAAUUUUCUAGACUAAUGAGAGCCAAUGCGCCGGGCAAAUGACCAUUACGAGCGCCAACGAAGAAAAUACGGGACGAGCUGAAAAUGUUGCAAUGCAAAGAGCCAAGUGCUGACAUUGCCACAAGAAUUUGCACGAUCCACGUGAGCGAACCGUAAACACGUUCACCAAACGUCUAAUGUGUUUUUAAUGUAAAAAGGUUACUGAAUAAAGACGUCGAUUAAAA
rnacentral:lncRNA from 1 species